AAUGAAUCAACAUCUCUCCCUGUAUCCGAGCAGGGAAUGGCCCUAUCCAUGCAUCAGCGUGAAUCCUCGGAUGGCAGAAAGAAUCACUGUCUCACGCUGAAAACCUUCCAGGCUCCAGGCCCGUGUCUUGGAGGUCGACCAGCCAGGAGCAACAACCAGGGUGUUCAGAAGAAUACCAGAGUAGAGACAUCAACGCCUGGGAAAGACCUAAGACGACCGCCGUCACACCCGCUGUGAUGCACGCCACAGAUACGGCGAUCGGCUUGUCGUCUUCGGUAGAAGCCACCCAGGGAGGCACAGCGACUGUAGACGGUGCGGUUUACGGUCGGGAUUCAACAGCGAGGCGAAGUGACGUACGGAGGCAGAAGGAGACAUCACCGGACUGCAGAGCAACCAAUCGUCAACCCGACCACCACCAGGGGAUGCGUGUUAUAUAUAUAUUUAUUUAUUUAUCUCUAUAUAUAUAUAUGAGUGUGUGGGUUUGUGUGCAGAAGAAGGUAAGUACGAGCGACUUGUCCAAGGUAAGUUUGGAGGUGGAAGCCAUUACAGUCUCUGUUCCGCAGUAUAGAAGAUGGAGCUAACCUGUAAUAUUUUGUCUAAAUUAGUUCCAUUAGACAUGAAUUACUGUAUUUGAGACCAAUUUUAGGCAGGAGAUUGGAUGAGCACCCAAAGGGUUUGUCUUCACACUGAGCAAUUAACACUAAAGGAUUUCCACUGGAAAACUCUGACUUAACUUUAAAUUACAAGAGUUUUUUUCCUUUUUGCAUAACACUGGUAUAUAUAUGUAUGUACAUAUACAUAUAUAUACACUACUUUAUCUGACAUUCCAUUUAAUGAAGUUGAUCUAAAAAAUGACAAAUGAUAAGCCUAUUGUGAUGAAUCGUGUUCCCAUGAAUAAAACGGAGGUAAAAAAAUUAAACGGACUCAACUUGUUUUAUUUGGGGAUUUAUGAAUGAAUCUACCGGGAGUGUUUGU
ensembl:lncRNA